CCUACGGGAGGCAGCAGUAAGGAAUCUUCCACAAUGGACGAAAGUCUGAUGGAGCAACGCCGCGUGCAGGAUGAAGGCUUUCGGGUCGUAAACUGCUUUUAUAUGGGAAGAUUAUGACGGUACCAUAUGAAUAAGGACCGGCUAACUACGUGCCAGCAGCCGCGGUAAUACGUAGGGUCCAAGCGAUAUCCGGAAUUACUGGGCGUAAAGCGUGUGUAGGUGGAUUAAUAAGUGUGAUGCGAAAUCCGGCGGCUCAACCGUUUGGACUGUGUCGCAUACUGUUAGUCUAGAGGACGGCAGAGGUAAGUGGAAUUACGGGUGUAGCAGUGAAAUGCGUAGAUAUCCGUAGGAACACCAAUGGCGAAGGCAGCUUACUGGGCCACACCUGACACUGAGACACGAAAGCGUGGGGAGCGAACAGGAUUAGAUACCCUGGUAGUCCACGCCGUAAACGAUGCAUACCAUUAGUAUGGGGUAUCGACCCCCUGUGCUGAGAAGCUAACGCGAUAAGUAUGCCGCCUGGGGAGUACGAGCGCAAGCUUAAAACUCAAAGGAAUUGACGG
rnacentral:rRNA from 1 species